GCCCUUUUCCGGUUGAUCCUGCCGGAGGUCACUGCUAUCAGUGUUCGACUAAGCCAUGCGAGUCAAAUGUUCUUCGUGAACAUGGCGUACUGCUCAGUAACACGUGGAUAAUCUGCCCUAAGGUCUGGCAUAACACCGGGAAACUGAUGAUAAUUCCAGAUGGACCAUGGAUACUGGAAUGUUCUGUGGUCAAAAGCUCCGGCGCCUUAGGAUGAAUCUGCGGCCUAUCAGGUUGUAGUGGGUGUAACGUACCUACUAGCCGACGACGGGUACGGGUUGUGAGAGCAAGAGCCCGGAGAUGGAUUCUGAGACAUGAAUCCAGGCCCUACGGGGCGCAGCAGGCGCGAAAACUUUACAAUGCGGGAAACCGCGAUAAGGGGACACUGAGUGCCAGCAUCUUAUGUUGGCUGUCCACAUGUAUAAAUAGCAUGUGUUAGCAAGGGCCGGGCAAGACCGGUGCCAGCCGCCGCGGUAACGCCGGCGGCCCGAGUGGUGGCCACUAUUAUUGGGUCUAAAGGGUCCGUAGCCGGUUUGAUCAGUCUUCCGGGAAGUCUGACAGCUCAACUGUUAGGCUUCCGGGGGAUACUGUCAGGCUUGGGACCGGGAGAGGUAAGAGGUACUACAGGGGUAGGAGUGAAAUCUUGUAAUCCCUGUGGGACCACCAGUGGCGAAGGCGUCUUACCAGAACGGGUCCGACGGUGAGGGACGAAAGCUGGGGGCACGAACCGGAUUAGAUACCCGGGUAGUCCCAGCCGUAAACGAUGCUCGCUAGGUGUCUGGGAUGGUGCGACCGUUUCAGGUGCC
rnacentral:rRNA from 1 species